UAUUAUCAGACACCAGAUACAAGUGCAGACAAUGUGAUUGGAAAUGAUCACAGGGGAUGUGCCACAAAGGAGGUGCUUCACCUCUUCCUGGUGUGCUGGCAGCUCCUUAGGCAGGAUCAGGAGCCUCCACACUGCAAUGCACAUCCAUGGCAAGACGACCAAAGUUCAGGCAGUUCAGGCACAUUCUUAUUUCCAGUUCUGUGUCUGUGGCCAAAAUAUGUCUAAGUGCACAGCCAAAAUCAAAAGGCAGGACAGCUGCCUUACCCAGAGGCCUUUCCAGAUGAUUUUAUUACAGAUGUGAGCUGCUCUGUUGUGUAAAUUGUAUAAAAGAGAGCCUGACAUGCAUCUUAGGAGGGUGCACUUUGCAAUUCUGGUUUACUUGGGAAUUCAGUUUUAUUGCAAUCCUUUUAGUAAGACAGGAUAUGCCGUUGAAAACAAACAUAUAUAAGUCCUAAAAAACUUCUAGAGAAUGAGGACCUAUGAACUGUAUUGGUGAAUAUCACAACAAAACAAACGAAACAUACUAAAAAUAUAAUUUCAUCUGAAUGCAGUAAAUGGGAUGAAAUGUGUCCUGCUAUAAUUCUGUUCAAAUGACACUGGGUUUAUCUUAACUAAAGAUCACAGAAUCAUAUAUUUACUAAGGCUGGAAAAGACCUCUAAGAUCUUGAGCCCAACCACUGAAUCAACACUGCCAGGUCCACCACUACCCAUGUCUCCAAGCACCUCAUCUAUGCAUGUUUUGAAAACUUCCAGGGAUGGUGAUUCCACCAUGUCCCAGGACAGCCUGUUCCAAUGCUGGAGAGACCUUUCAGGGAAGAACUUUUUCCUGACAUCCAUCUAAACCUUCACUGGCACAACCUUCCUCUUGUCCCAUUGUUUCUUACCUGAAGGAAACACCAACCCUCCCUGACUGCAGCCUCCUUCCAGGCACUUGGAGAGAGUGGUGAGGUCCCCAAGCCUCCUUUUCUCCAGCCUAAACAACCACAGUUAACUCAGCUUCUAUCUCCUCAGAUUUCAAGAGGAAUCAAUACCUCACACCUAGCACUGGGGAAUGAAAAUGGAGAUUGUUGUAAUCACCAAUGUUUCAGAUCAAAAUUUAAUUUGCACUUUCCUCUACACAUUCAAGAUGUACUGCUGCUUCUGUCCAGUGAAGUGCAUCACUCCAUUCAGGGCAAGGUGCAGUGAACAGAGGCAAGAGGUGAAAGGGAUCAACAGAGCAGCACUGGAGGGAAUAAACUUUGGAAGGAAUAAACAUUUGCUGAUUCUUCUAACAGAAAAGUGAAAUUGCCAAAGACAAGGAAAUGUGUUGCAGCAACUGAAAUGCCAAAAUACACUUUCAGAUAAUCCUGCAAAAUCUGCUCCUAAACCCAUCCAUCAGUGUUUGGAAAUACCAUCAACCCCAUGUUCUCUGAGCUAUGUUCUGCGUUGGAGAGGAAUCACAAAAAACCUUGGCAAGAGUACAGCUCCACAAACUCCAACCCAGCUUUUUGUGUGGUCACUUCUUCUAGUCUAAUGUGUGCACCUAGAAAAAUGCAAGGAAAAAGGAAGAACAAACCCAUAAUGAAGUAUAACAUUCAUGAACAUUCUGAAGUAAACUAGCAUACUUCAAAAUCACUAAUAAAGUUACGUUUAAGUUUUAUUUACAAAGUGAUUGCUUUAGAAACAGAGUGCCUGAGCAAUGCUGGACUGGACUGCAGCAAGAACUGAUACUACAGAAGUUAUAUCCCAAAGGAGAUGGUUUUGCUCCUCCUGUUCCAGUCCUCACUUUAGGUCUGUUCUGCAGAGCUUCACAGACAGAUGUGUCACUGUUUACCUGCCCACAGUUCAGGACAGGCACUCACUGUAUGAACUGGCAGCUUUUCCUCUAACCCAAAAUCUACUCAUGGAAUAAAGUACUACCAUAACUAUGAAUGCAGAUCAAAACAUUUUAAAUACAAGGGUAAGAAAAUCUGUUUUAAUAAGCUGAACACUUCAGUACUUUAAAAAAAAUAAAUCUUUCUUAAACAUUAAGGGCUGCUAU